UCAUAGAAGAUAAAAUAAUACAGAAAUCAACAGUUAGAAGCGAAAAUAAAAUGUUGAUUAAAGAACACAGUAAUUGCUAAGCCAUAAACAAAAAUAUACUAACUUGAAAGAUUUUUCUUAAAUUUAACAAAUUUUUGGUAUUGUGCAUGUAGCGACCUCUAAUCAAAUUAAUAAAGUCAACAUUUAUAAAUGUUUCAAUAGUUUUCUGUCAUAGCAAAGAAACUUCUUCUACUUUUAUGAAAUGUUAUUUGUACGAGACGACGUUAGCAGAAAAUGUUUCGUCUCUUUCUGUUUAUCAGCCAAUGUUGUAUCAGUCAUUGAAAAAAUUAUUUUUUUGCAUCUAAAGUGCAGGAAAUUAUUAUAAAAAAUAAUUUUUAUUACACAAACAAGUUGCGAUAAUCACAUUUAGUAAGUUAAUAUUUAUUAGUAGUUAUUAUGUACCUUUGUUAUUUUUUUAAAAAUAAUUUUCUUCUUUAAUUGAUGUUUAUCACUUUCUGCAAAAGGCCAAUAGACUUGUUGAUCUACAACAUUUAGACGACCAGCUUAUUUUAGUUUCAGUUUCUUUGAAUUGAAAUGGGCAUUUUUAAGGGAAAUGGAACAAAUAAUUAGCUGUAUAUACAAGUGGCAUCGAUGAAUAUUCUUUUAGAGAAACCUUUCACUCUUUAUGUGAGAGUACUUUUAAAAUAAUGAUCCAUUUAACUAAGAGGGAAUUUUAUACCUGUCCUGUAUUCCGUGUGGGGCAGGAUAAGGAAUCUUAACUAAAUCUACUAUAGAAUCAGGCUGUUGUGUGUGAAACAGGAGAUGAUUGUUCACAGAUGGUGGUUAUUGGGGAAUGAUGGAAGAAGAAGACAAAUUUCCUGAAGCUGCACUCGGCAGAUCCAUUUGCCUUAAUCUUCCUGAGCAAGUUCCGAAACUCGUAACUUUCUUAAACCCCCUGUCAGUCGACAUACACCACAUAGUUGCUGUUGCUUUCUUUGUGGAAUUCUUGUCCCAGUGUUACAAGGGAUGCAAGAGCUUAACUAAACCCCUCAUGAACAGCCUCCUGGAAGGCUGGUGGAUUCCUCUUCCAUCGUACGCCUGCUGUGCAUCUCUGGUCUUGGAAAUAUUUCAAUGCUUGAUAAGGAACAGAGAGAUACUCAACCACCAUCUUGUCAGCCAUGAUGACAGGAAUGGAUGAAAGGGAAGAUCCAGGAUAUCGCAUCACACUCGAGGCAAUGAGUGGCCUGUCAGCCAUCCUCGCACAAGUGGCUGAGGAAGAUGUCAGAAACAUACUCAUCAAUAUUGCACUAAGGAUUAAACCUAUGUUCGACAAGGAAAAACCUUUAGUCAGAUCUGCAGCGUUUACUCUUUUUGGUAAUUUGUCCAAAUUUGCGAAUGGUCCUUCAAAAGAACAGUUUGUGGUUCAGGUGCAGGGAAAUUUUGUCAUUUUCAUGCUU
rnacentral:misc_RNA from 1 species